AUAACUCUUCAGUCCCGGUGUGAGCAGUGACAAAUACCCGAAUAUAUGUGCACACUCAAGCAGCAGAAUAUAGCUGAAAGCUGAGGCUGUGAGGGAAAGUUGCCUGUGAACUAGGAGGAGGAUAUUGCAAAUUCCCAGCAACCUCAAUCUGUGUCUAUGGAGAACUCACAGGGGCCUCCUGUGGCAGCAAGGGGAUCUGCUGUAGGAACAGUCCUUUGGAGUAUGAAGCCUUGCGUGGAGACUUCGAAAGGAAAGUUGCCUGUGAAAUAGUAAGAGGAUUUUGCAAAUUCCCAGCAACCACAGACUGUACCUAUGGAGAAAUCACAGGGGCCACCUGUGGCAGCGAGGAGAUCUGCUGUAGGAACAAACCUCGGGAGCUUACACCCUUGGGUGGAAACUUCGCAGAAUGAUCAUCAGUGUGUGAGGAAAUGGAGGGUUCUGCCAGGAGGAUCUCACCAAACGCUGCCCGUCUGGUCUAACUCUUCCGGCUUACUGUGGCUUCAGUGCACAAUGCUGUGCCCUUGAAUGACAUCAGUGAGCAGCCCUCAUCGAUAGGUGUGAAUGCUUACACUGAUUCUUCUGGAUCUUUGCUUGUGGGAGUGGGCCUGAUCAAUCCAUUUGUGAAUUAAGCAAUGAAAUAAAAUCAGUCUAUUGAGAUGAUCAUCUAAUUAAACGCAAAUUAAACUGCAACUGUGAAAUUGUUUUUUUUUUCGUUUUUUUAAAAAAGCAUCUGUUAUGUACUGAGCUG